ACUAGAUUGCAUUACUGAAUCCAGAGCAGCUCCAGAUUAUUCUUACUUGUGUUUCAUAUCGAAAUGAUCGGAACAUCUGAAAAGUAAACAACUCGGCCAACGAUCCAUGGACUCGAAUGGGUUUGAGUCGUUUUGAUGUCACAGAAAUGUGGUGAAUGGAAGGCGCGCGGGCCGUUUUGCAGUUCUGGUGCUUAUACACUAAACAAAGAGUCAGGGAAAAGCUGCGCGUGAUCAAUCUUGCUCUCCAAGAGGUCUGACAGGAUCUCGCUCCCACCACAUAUUUCAGCUCUAAACUUCUGCACAAGAUGCAAUCCAACCAGAAACAAGAAGAAGAUACUCCAGGAUUUCUCUCCUGUUUUAUUUCAUUCUCAAUGCGGAUAAAACAAUAUCAGAGGCGGGAUAUAGAAACGUGUUGAACAUCAGAAGAAGGUUUGAUUGUAAAUUCCUCUCCACUCCCAGAAACCGGAGAAGCUGUCACAGUGUAAUGGAUGUUUCUGCUCGGAGGAACGAGGCCUCUCCAAGACCUCGACUUACCAACAUGCAAGAAAUGACCGAACAUCACACACUGCAUGUUUAACACUAACCACAUCCUUAUAUCAUAUACAUGCUGCAAUUCAAGGCUUUUAAUUCUUUUUUUUUUUAUUAUUCUAUUUAUUUGCUGAUUUUUUUGUUCCCACAUCAAUAAUGUAAUCUUUUGUUCUUUCUUUCUUCUACCUUUAAAAAAUAAACGGAGAGUAAAUUAUACUUUAAAACAAGUCAAAUAAUUCCUAUUUUUAUUUGUAAUCAUUUCCAUUCAUAUUUUGAUUUUAUUUGUAUUUGUAUUUUGUUUUAUUUUUGCUCGAUGAAUAUUUUAUUUUAUUAUCCAUGUGUGUACGGCAGACAGAAAUCUCACAACGAAGCAUUUCUACAACUUUAUAACAUCAUUAUAAAUGUAUAAAUUAUAUAUUAUUUAAUAAUAAUGUAAUAGACAUUAAGUAUUUACUUUAUUAUUUUACUGAAACAGGAAAAUGGAAUAGAUAUUGUCAUGUUUGCUGAGAUGAGUUUCUAAUUUAAACAUCCAGAUUUAUUUAUUUGAAUUAGAAUUUCAGGUUGACUUUUGUCUAAAUGUAAUUAUACACUAAACAAUUUUUUUUAUUUACAUUUAGAGAUUUUAAUUAUUCUGCCUUGUAAAAUGUAUUGGUAAUAAUUUACAGUAAUAUACUGACAGCUUGUUUACACUUAAUACAAUAAAUAAAAUCUCUGUACACAAUUUUGA